GACCCCUAAGGCGAGGCCGAAAGGCGUAGUCGAUGGGAAACGGGUUAAUAUUCCCGUACUUGGUGUUACUGCGAAGGGGGGACGGAGAAGGCUAUGUUGGCCGGGCGACGGUUGUCCCGGUUUAAGCGUGUAGGUGUGUGUUCCAGGUAAAUCCGGUUCACUUUAACACUGAGGCGUGAUGACGAGGCACUACGGUGCUGAAGCAACAAAUGCCCUGCUUCCAGGAAAAGCCUCUAAGCAUCAGGUAACAUCAAAUCGUACCCCAAACCGACACAGGUGGUCAGGUAGAGAAUACCAAGGCGCUUGAGAGAACUCGGGUGAAGGAACUAGGCAAAAUGGUGCCGUAACUUCGGGAGAAGGCACGCUGACACGUAGGUGAAGUGAUUUACUCAUGGAGCUGAAGUCAGUCGAAGAUACCAGCUGGCUGCAACUGUUUAUUAAAAACACAGCACUGUGCAAACACGAAAGUGGACGUAUACGGUGUGACGCCUGCCCGGUGCCGGAAGGUUAAUUGAUGGGGUCAGCGCAAGCGAAGCUCCUGAUCGAAGCCCCGGUAAACGGCGGCCGUAACUAUAACGGUCCUAAGGUAGCGAAAUUCCUUGUCGGGUAAGUUCCGACCUGCACGAAUGGCGUAAUGAUGGCCAGGCUGUCUCCACCCGAGACUCAGUGAAAUUGAACUCGCUGUGAAGAUGCAGUGUACCCGCGGCAAGACGGAAAGACCCCGUGAACCUUUACUAUAGCUUGACACUGAACAUUGAGCCUUGAUGUGUAGGAUAGGUGGGAGGCUUUGAAGUGUGGACGCCAGUCUGCAUGGAGCCGGCCUUGAAAUACCACCCUUUAAUGUUUGAUGUUCUAACGUGGACCCGUGAUCCGGGUUGCGGACAGUGUCUGGUGGGUAGUUUGACUGGGGCGGUCUCCUCCUAAAGAGUAACGGAGGAGCACGAAGGUUGGCUAAUCCUGGUCGGACAUCAGGAGGUUAGUGCAAUGGCAUAAGCCAGCUUGACUGCGAGCGUGACGGCGCGAGCAGGUGCGAAAGCAGGUCAUAGUGAUCCGGUGGUUCUGAAUGGAAGGGCCAUCGCUCAACGGAUAAAAGGUACUCCGGGGAUAACAGGCUGAUACCGCCCAAGAGUUCAUAUCGACGGCGGUGUUUGGCACCUCGAUGUCGGCUCAUCACAUCCUGGGGCUGAAGUAGGUCCCAAGGGUAUGGCUGUUCGCCAUUUAAAGUGGUACGCGAGCUGGGUUUAGAACGUCGUGAGACAGUUCGGUCCCUAUCUGCCGUGGGCGCUGGAGAACUGAGGGGGGCUGCUCCUAGUACGAGAGGACCGGAGUGGACGCAUCACUGGUGUUCGGGUUGUCAUGCCAAUGGCACUGCCCGGUAGCUAAAUGCGGAAGAGAUAAGUGCUGAAAGCAUCUAAGCACGAAACUUGCCCCGAGAUGAGUUCUCCCUGAGACUUUAGGUCUCCUGAAGGAACGUUGAAGACGACGACGUUGAUAGGCCGGGUGUGUAAGCGCAGCGAUGCGUUGAGCUAACCGGUACUAAUGAACCGUGAGGCUUAACCUUACA
rnacentral:rRNA from 1 species